GACGAACGCUGGCGGCGUGCUUAACACAUGCAAGUCGAACGGAAAGGCCCUGCUUUUGUGGGGUGCUCGAUUGGCGAACGGGUGAGUAACACGUGAGUAACCUGCCCUUGACUUUGGGAUAACUUCAGGAAACUGGGGCUAAUACCGGAUAGGAGCUCCUGCUGCAUGGUGGGGGUUGGAAAGUUUCGGCGGUUGUGGAUGGACUCGCGGCUUAUCAGCUUGUUGGUGGGGUAGUGGCUUACCAAGGCUUUGACGGGUAGCCGGCCUGAGAGGGUGACCGGCCACAUUGGGACUGAGAUACGGCCCAGACGCCUACGGGAGGCAGUAGUGGGGAAUAUUGCACAAUGGGCGGAAGCCUGAUGCAGCAACGCCGCGUGCGGGAUGACGGCCUUCGGGUUGUAAACCGCUUUCGCCUGUGACGAAGCGUGAGUGACGGUAAUGGGUAAAGAAGCACCGGCUAACUACGUG
rnacentral:rRNA from 1 species